ensembl:lncRNA
ACACUUCAGAGUCCCCGAACACCUUGGCUCUGCCAGUCCAAGGACAACAGCCAAUUUCAAAGCAGCCCCAGUGAACUGGCCCCAUCCACUGCUGUCAGCCACUCCCCAUUUUACCAGAGAGAGAGCAAAAAUCCAGCCAAUUUGCCUUUUUUUUCUUAUUUUGUUCAGUUCCCAACUGCCUGGAAUGAACAACAAAACCCAGUGUGCCAUGACGAAGUCUUGAAUAGUCUUCAGGGGAAGCCAAAGAACAUCUUCCCUGCUUUGCUACACACUCAGCCAUGCUCGGGACUGCAAAGAAAUGCCAGGAAUGCACCUGCACACAUUCAAGAAGCACAUGCAAAGGCUACAAGAAGCACUGAAAUGUUUCUCCAUGCAGAGACUGAGCACGGUAAUGCCACAUCUGUAUGCAAGUGCGUGGUAUGGCCAUGGGGCUCUUGGCACAGUUCCUGAUGCAUUAUGGUGCUAGCCAGUGGCUAACAGGAACAAUUCAAAACUAUUGCACCAGCAAAGAAUUUGCAACAGACUGAAAACCAGCCACCUACUCCCUGCUGUCCAGGAACAUCUUCAAAUAGAUACAGCAGACAUAGAAUGUUUGUUGAAAAUAAAUGUCUAAGGACAAGAAUUCCUAGUGUUUUUUUGGGUGCUUAUCUCCCUUAUUUAAGAAGAAAAUUCCCUUUGAGCUUCAUGCAACCACAUUUUCCAGUUCAAAAGUGAAUCACGAGUUCUUGUGAGUUCCUUCUAUUUCCAGCUCCAGGGAUAAGCACAAAUCCUUCUCUGGCUCUGUCUUCUGCCCACAUUUCAGGAGGGGCAGCAGUCCUGGAGCACUGCAUAUUCUGCCCAAAAACUCAGGCCUUGUGCACCCAGACACAACUUCCAAAUGAGAGCCUUGGGAAAAAAUAAGUGCAGGGAGAUGAGGCUGAGUUGUGGUGGUUUUUAGUAAGAGAAACAGAGGCGAGGGUACCUAAUUGCACAUUCCCAAGAGUGAUUGAUGCUGCAUGUGUGCCCACAAACACUGUGGAAACAUGUUGUUGUUCUGCAGGGUUACAAAGAAUGAACUUAGUACACAUUAGUCACCAAAAAAAGAAAGUGAUUGCUUUUUCAGUGUUUUGUUUCUAUGGUGUUGGAUGGAAACUGAGACUAUGUCUUUGAUGCUCUAUGAGUGCAAAGUAGCAGGGAGAUCACAAAUCAAGCAUCACUUUCCCAGACGGAAGGAAAGGCUUGCCCUGGAGACACGGGUGGUGCCUGGAUGAGAUGCACUUCUCCCAAACCUAUGUGGGAAGCAUUCAACGAGCAGAACUUUAAACCAAUUAAAAAGGAUCUGGUGAAAGUUUGUGCACAUAUAUCAAAGAAAUUUGGAGAUCCAGUUUACUAAAUCGGCUUUGCUAUCCUGAGCAUUAAAAUACUGAGCCCCAACUCUUAAAAAUCAUCAAUACCCUCAGCAAUUCAUUUUCAAAUAUGUUAGUAAUCUAGAUUUUGUUUGAAUUUGCCUUCCAGCCAUUCUAUUUUUCAAGCUCAGCUUUCCCAACUAGUGUUCUCUGCAAUCAAAAUUAGUAAUAUGCUUUAAAAGAAUGAGGCAUACGUAAAAUCAGGAUGUCCACUGAAGUGAAAGUGCCCACUUCUGAAGGAUGGCACCAUGCACAGUGAAGUGUGCACUGGAGUCCCAUUCCAUUCUCAUCAAGGUUCAAAGCAAGUCUCAUUAUGUGACCUUCCAAAACAGAAGUCAACAAAGAGCCAACAGACUGACCAACACACUCCAAACCAGUGCAAAGAAAAAGAAAUAGAUAUUGAAAACUGAUUAAGUAUGAGGUGUGAGACUCAGUAUUCUGACAAUGCAGCAAGAUCAUUGUUUUUGAGAUAGAGGAACUCUAACAUUCAAAGAGUGUUUUUUGUCACAAGCACCCUUAGCAGAAAGCUUGCAUCUAGUUGCAGAAGAGGCUGUAGUCUCUGCUCCAGUGAUAGAAUACACAUAACCGUAUAAAUAUAAGGAACAUGAAUAUAUAAGCACAGUAAAAUCUGAUGGCUUGAACCACUCUGAGACAAACCAUUAAAUACCAGAAAUGUCAUUUUAUCAAACUGACACUAGUUUGCACUGAAGCAGUGAAAAAAGGAAUGUAGUAAACUGUGCUCCUAUGGUUUGCAGAAUCAUAGAAUCACACUGCUUUAUAUUGUUGUAUUAAAUAUAACUUAAUGUUAAAACUGAAUUAAAGCGUACUUAAUGUUUAAUUUUGCUAUUUAUAUUUUCUUCUGGACAGUUCUUACUCAGCUUGUGGUAUGUAUCAGUGUGACAGCACUUGUCAGAUGCAUCAUUGAUCUGCCUGAUAUUUUACAGGUGAUAAGAAGUAUUUCUGAGUUCAUUUGUUUGGGAAAAGGGGAUGUAGAAAUGUAUGUACAUGUGUGACUUCAUAUGUAUAUGCAUGUAUACAUAAAUAUGUAGUUAUACAUUGUGACUAACAAAUUAUUUUGUCUGAAGAUGGUAAUGCCAGCUAAAAAUUUAGAGGUUUGUGAUCUUAAUUUUCUAAGGCAAAUCUUUGCUAAGAUCCAAUGCUACCAGGAAAAAUCUAACAGACUAUCAGACAAUCAAAAAAAGAUACAGAGCCUCUGUACUUGAAGAGUAAAUACAUUACACCACCUCUCAACAUGAAUACGCAGUAUGAAACGUGAUGAUAUUUUGCUUUAAAGUAUAAUAAUUGGAAAAAAAUUAAAAAGAAAUGAAAAUUUCUGGUGAUUUAUCC